GGCAUAAUGGGCACUUAAGUUACACAUUUAAGCAAAAAGGGAAUUCUCACCGCACUCACACUCACACAGUGUUCAGAUGUUCUUCAUAAAGCACCCAAUGGAAUAGACCCACAUCUCACAUCCAAUAUGUCACCCUGCCUGUGUAGCUGCUGUUACAGCAUCCCCUAGUCAGGUCCUUUUCACUUUCCAUUCCUCUCCUCGUGCUGGUAAUUGUGCGUGCCGCCGAGAAAGAGGCAUUUAAACCGCAAGGUAAUUUAGACAGGGUUCUCCUCCUGCUUACCAGGCUUGAAACAACACACCACCUUCCAGAUGCUUCCAGGCCGACCUGACGUCUCGGAGCGGCGCUCGGACGUUUACAUCCAGACGGUUUUGCUGCGCCGGCCCGCUGCACUGUUUGUGCUGGAAAUCUGCUGUGCCUCACACCCCAAUCACACGCAAUCAUGUGUGUUUCCUGGAUUACUAUAUGUAAACUCCUCUCAGUUACACACGCUCCCACACACGGAGGCACACAUGAGUACGGAUGCAUGCGUGGCUCUUAAGAGUAAGAAAGCCAUCAAACCUCAUUCUGUCAUACACCUAUGCUGUAUAUACUCCCAUAAAAGUGCAUAUACACACGCAGACACCCAAAGAGCAGACCACAGAGUUAAAAGAAAGCGUGUUUAUGUAACACGAUCACUUUUGUAACACAGGGUUUAUGAUGCUUGAUUCCAUCCACUCUUUCUCAAUGUUAUUAAACUGUAAAAGACUGUUUUCCUUUUCUACCUCCCUGGUUUUCGGCACAUUGUUUAGUACAGUACACACUGAGCCUCCUGACGACACUGGGGCUCUGCUGGCUCUCUAGGGAAAUCAUCUGCACUAAUAGGAAACAUGCUGUGCCUCUCUGUCUCUCUCUCUCACACACACAUACACACACACGCACACACUAAGAACAGCACAGAUACAUGACAUGUUUAAUUUCUGCUGAAGUGUCCUUGAGCAAGAUAGAUUCCUCAAGACACUUCUAUGAGCUGAUGUUUCCAUGGACUCCUGGAUACUCUGUGGUAUCCAAUGCAAUGAGGCAGCUUUCUGAAAAUGUGUUUUAGUACAGUAAUUAAUGUAUUCUCUUUACAGUCGGUUCUUUCUUCAUGACAUUUACAAGAAAUUUAAAACAGGACUGAGGAGAAACUCUUUUUCUUCUUUGCCAAAGAUGUAGCAAUACUGGCACACUUGCUAAAUAACACUUAAGUGUCUUAAGUUUUAUUGCUGGUCCUUUAAUAGUAUCCCCAGCUGUACUUAUUUUCACAAUUAUCUGGAAGAUGUAUCAUCUUUUAAGAUGGCAUAAUCUAAUGCAGUUCAUUGUUUGGUAUCUGUUGUAUGAUCCCUCAACAAGUGUCUUAUGCAAUAUAUGAAGGUCUGUACCAGUAGAUUUGUACAAUAUGAAUUGGUUGGUAAUGUUGUCAGAGAUAAUUUGUUAAUUCUUGUCAUUUUAGGAUAACACAGCUCACAACAUAAACAGCAAAUGAUGAUCCUAUCGCACUGCUUUGACAGUUUACUCUCAUUAAAGCGUGAAUCAUGUCCGGCCAAGCGGUUUGGUCAUCGCGCUGACGCUGUUGUAUCCAGUGGAGAUGGGGACCUUAUGAACACUGAUUCCAGUGCCAGAAAUAGAGCUGGUGAUGUGUCACGUUGACCCCGUGGUGACCGGCACAGCCCCUCUUCCCAUGAGGGAUGUCUCAGGGGUUGUGGAGUUGAGUUUGUUUCCAGUGAGAAAGCCAAAUGGGUUUGUCAGCAGGACGGAGAGGCUUAACCUAACAUGAUCUAAGUGGGUUCGCACUGUGGGCCGGCCCUGAUUCAGGAUGAUAAAUAGGUGGAAAACAAUGGAAACACAGUGGGUCAAAAUCAGUGUGAGGAUCAUAAUACUAUCAGCAGGUAGAAAGUUCAAGUGUCUUGUGUGUGUGAUUGUAGUUAUCUGGAUACUUGUAAAUGUAUUGUCAUUUGGGCGGCUUGUUCUCAGUGAAGAUGUUGCUCUUGUUCAUCUUUACGCAUUGAGUGUUUUUUGUAACUUCAGCUGGAAAGGUUUGACCUCACCAGACCACGAUGUCACAUGGCUUUACCUCACACAUACACCCCUUUGAGUUUAACCGCAGAGGCCAGUCAGAAGUAGUUUUAGUCAUGUGACAACACUGUGACAAAGCCUUACAUGACUGAGAAAUUCCCACUCAUUAAUCAGGAAAUGUAAACUUUCACCAGAUUUAAUAUUUAUAUUUCCCACCCUUCUGACACAUUCAUAAUUUUCCUUCCUCAACAGUGACCCCUAAGUAUGACACAUCUCCACGGCUGAACACAUCCAUGUGACACAUCCACGGAGGACUCACCCGUCUCUCGUGCUGUCCAUGGCGGCCAGUGGGGACAGAUGAUGAGGGCUGCCGAGUUCCCGGUCCAGUCGGUGCUGUCGGGACGUCAGUAAAUCUACUCUCUCCAUCGUCCGCUUCAUUCAUCGGCUGAUGUCUUUCCCAGCGUCCAUGAGGAGAGCUGCGCGCUGACUUUCUGGGACAGUUAACCAGUGACGAGAGGAGAAGACAAGGGGAGAUGAAAGGAGGGGAAAAGAUCGCUGCUCCUGGUUUUGCCGUUUCCAGGGCCAGCUGUUCUCAAGUGGAAGCAUGCCGAGGCCUGAUCUGACAGCACUCUGAAAUGGUUACAAGCUUGAUUCAUUACCCCCAAAUCAUCAAUCACAGACCUUAAAUGUUUUCCCCUUUAGCCCCAACAUCUGCUACCAGACCUGCAAAACAGUCGACAAAUAAUGGCCGUGAUUGCCUCAGUUUCAAUGCUGGUUCCUUGUGGAGGGAGAGAGAGAGUGGAUGUGAUGGCACUCUUGAAGAGUUAGCGGAGGAUUAUGUUCUGAAAAUGUUGUGGAUUGCUCUGAAAGGCUUCCGGUCGAGUUCAGAAAGAAAGCUCUGUGUGAGAGGGCGAUGGAGAGGUACAUAAGCCUCUCAGCAUAACAGCAGGAGCAUGUAAACCUCUGUACUAAAACUAUGAUGAGUCCUUCCUCUGGUUAAUCAGAGAACACUUUAAUUAUGCUCUAUAAAACAGAGAGUGGCUUCUCGUAAGUCUCACUGCAGCCAUGUGAAUAAUAGCAGACUUAUAAGCCGUGAACAGGAAAACAAGUUAAGCUCUGACUGGAAGCAUGACUCAUUUUCUGCUCCACAAGUGUUAAUGAUGGGAUGGCUGCCCACUUUGCCCCACCUCUUCCAUGCAUCCUAUUGGCCCUGGAACAAAGUGAAACUCAUGCAAAAUGGGGUUCUUGCAUGCCAACCUGCAACAUCUUUGCUGGCCUCAAAUAACACUGCAUCGGCUCACGGGCGAGCUCCUCUGGGCUCUAAAACAUUUAAAACAAGAGAGCAAGCAACAUCCACUCAGAAACAGAGGGAGGUCAAGGUGGAAAAGCCAAGACUCAGAGGCCUGGUUCAACAUUCAAAGACAAGUUGAACAUUCAGUCAUCAACGGGACGCUGGAGUUCCAGCAACAAUAACAGAGAGCAACGGGGAGCCUGGAUGGGGUACUGGCAGAAAACAAGGACAGAUGUGUCCAUAAACUAAGGAAGCUGCAGGGCAUCUCUCUUGUCUUUAAGAUUGUUAUAAUAAUAAUAUAUUUAUCUCUCUCUUGUUCUCAAUCUAAAGCAGUGUUGACGUUUGGUGACGGUCAAAUUCAUCAAUUCUAAAAUGGAAGUUUAAUGGCUAUAUAUGACGAAUAAAAGUUUCUGUUUGUG